rnacentral:rRNA from 1 species
AAAAGGAGAAAUCCGGUAUAGGAUGGGCUCGCGGCGCAUUAGCUAGUUGGUGAGGUAACGGCUCACCAAGGCGACGAUGCGUAGCCGACCUGAGAGGGUGGACGGCCACACUGGGACUGAGAUACGGCCCAGACUCCUACGGGAGGCAGCAGUGGGGAAUAUUGGGCAAUGGGCGCAAGCCUUACCCAGCAAUACCGCGUGAGUGAAGAAGGUCUUCGGAUUGUAAAGCUCUUUGAUCAGGGACGAACAGAUGACGGUACCUGAAGAACAAGCCCCGGCUAACUACGUGCCAGCAGCCGCGGUAAAACGUAGGGGGCGAGCGUUGUCCGGAAUGACUGGGCGUAAAGGGUGCGUAGGCGGCAUAAUAAGUUAGAAGUGAAAUACCCAGAGCUUAACUCGGGUGCUGCUUCUAAGACUGUUGAGCUUGAGUGCGGGAGAGGUUAAUGGAAUUCCUAGUGUAGCGGUGGAAUGCGUAGAUAUUAGGAGGAACACCAGAGGCGAAGGCGAUUAACUGGACCGUAACUGACGCUGAGGCACGAAAGUGUGGGUAGCAAACAGGAUUAGAUACCCCGGUAGUCCACACUGUAAACGAUGGAUACUAGAGGCAGGAGGUAUCGACUCCUUCUGCAUCGC